UCUACUAUAGUUGUAAGCCUUUUCCUGGGCACCAGUUACAACUUUUGAGGCAUUACAAGUUAAAUUUGCCAUAUCACACCACUAUUCAAUGGAAAAAAUUAGGUAGACCGCUCAAAUUGUUUAGGUGGUUUAUGCAUUUGCAAAUUAGGCAUUAUAAGCACAGAUUUACAUAUUUCAAGUCAGAGAAGAAGGGUCCAUUUGACUUUGGAAUUACCUUGGAGUGCUGAUCGGGCAAUUCAGCAGUUUGGAAGAACUCAUCGCUCAAAUCAAGCUUCUGCACCUGAGUAUAAGCUACUUUUUACUAAUCUUGGUGGAGAACGGCGGUUUGCAUCUGUGGUUGCUAAGAGACUUGAAUCACUUGGGGCACUGACUCAGGGAGAUCGUCGAGCUGGACUAUCUCUUAGUGCUUAUAACUAUGAUAGUUCCUUUGGGAAGAGGGCCCUGAUGAUGUUGUAUAGAGGGAUCAUGGAGCAGGAUCCUUUGCCACUUGUACCACCAGGUUGUUCUGCUGAUAAACCAGAUGCUAUACAGGAUUUCAUUUUGAAGGGGAAAGCUGCGCUUGUUUCUGUUGGAAUAAUAAG